rnacentral:rRNA from 1 species
UAGGGAAUCUUCGGCAAUGGGGGGAACCCUGACCGAGCAACGCCGCGUGAGUGAAGAAGGUUUUCGGAUCGUAAAGCUCUGUUGUUAAGGAAGAACGAGUGUGAGAAUGGAAAGUUCAUGCUGUGACGGUACUUAACCAGAAAGGGACGGCUAACUACGUGCCAGCAGCCGCGGUAAUACGUAGGUCCCGAGCGUUGUCCGGAUUUAUUGGGCGUAAAGCGAGCGCAGGCGGUUAGAAAAGUCUGAAGUGAAAGGCAGUGGCUCAACCAUUGUAGGCUUUGGAAACUGUUUAACUUGAGUGCAGAAGAGGAGAGUGGAAUUCCAUGUGUAGCGGUGAAAUGCGUAGAAAUAUGGAGGAACACCGGUGGCGAAAGCGGCUCUCUGGUCUGUAACUGACGCUGAGGCUCGAAAGCGUGGGGAGCGAACAGG